rnacentral:misc_RNA from 1 species
UUGAAUUCUCAAUAACGUAUGUGAACCUGCUGAACCUUGGCUCAUAGGUUUGUAGACGCUGUUGGGGUCAUACCUGCGGCUUAACAGGCCUAAGUGCCAAGGGUAGGCGUUAAAACUGGCGGACUUUGAGCCGUCAGUCUAUUUUUAACCACCCUUUAAUCCUGAUUAUUACUGAACAUUUUAAAACUAAAGA